rnacentral:rRNA from 1 species
UACGUAGGGGGGCUAGCGUUGUCCGGAAUCAUUGGGCGUAAAGCGCGUGUAGGCGGUCCGGUAAGUCCGCUGUGAAAGUCGGGGGCUCAACCCUCGAAUGCCGGUGGAUACUGUCGGGCUAGAGUGCGGAAGAGGCGAGUGGAAUUCCUGGUGUAGCGGUGAAAUGCGCAGAUAUCAGGAGGAACACCUAUUGCGAAGGCAGCUCGCUGGGACGUAACUGACGCUGAGACGCGAAAGCGUGGGGGAGCAAACAGG